UGGGGAAUAUUGCACAAUGGGGGAAACCCUGAUGCAGCGACGCCGCGUGAGCGAUGAAGGCUUUCGAGUCGUAAAGCUCUGUCCUAUGGGAAGAUAAUGACGGUACCAUAGAAGAAAGCCCCGGCUAAUUACGUGCCAGCAGCCGCGGUAAUACGUAAGGGGCGAGCGUUGUCCGGAAUUAUUGGGCGUAAAGAGUGCGUAGGCGGCAAAUUAAGUCAGAUGUGAAAACUAAGGGCUCAACCCAUAGAUUGCAUCUGAAACUGAUAAGCUUGAGUCAAGGAGAGGAAAGUGGAAUUCCUAGUGUAGCGGUGGAAUGCGUAGAUAUUAAGAGGAAUACCGGUGGCGAAGGCGACUUUCUGGACUUGAACUGACGCUGAGGCACGAAAGCGUGGGGAGCAAACAGG
rnacentral:rRNA from 1 species